CGCCCGGGAACUACGAGCUAAGCUUAAAACCCAAAGGACUUGACGGUACCCCAUAUCCCCCUAGAGGAGCCUGUCCUAUAAUCGAUAAUCCACGUUUAACCUCACCGCUUCUAGUUAAUCAGCCUGUAUACCUCCGUCGUCAGCUUACCACGUGAGCGUAAAUUAGUGAGCCCAAUGUUAUUUCACCAACACGUCAGGUCAAGGUGCAGCAAAUGAAGUGGGAAGAGAUGGGCUACACUUUCUAUUUUAGAAGAAACGAAAAACUACUUAUGAAACCUAGUUAGAAGGCGGAUUUAGCAGUAAAAAGAAAUCAGCAUGUUCAUUUUAACCCGGCACUGGGGUGUGUACACACCGCCCGUCACCCU
rnacentral:rRNA from 1 species